GGAAUCUUGCGGAACGUUCUGGAUUGUAAUUGCGUAACCUCGAGCCGUUGCCAACGGAAACUAUUUUUCAGUCGGUUUCCAUUGGGAAUUGUUGCCCCCUAUCUUAAACAAUUUAAGUUUGAUAUUAAAUACAUACGGACACGUACGUCAAACAAUAUGUUGAUAAUUUCCGAUGGUUGCGCCGUACUUUUAACCACGAUGACGUGACGGGACUCUCACUGCGUAGAAAACAGCGUUCUACUAUUUUUGACAUCAGGGAAGGCUGAAAAUCAUUUCAAGGUGGGAGAUAAUUUGACAUUUCUCAACGGAACCCAGCACCUGAAUAUGGUUGAUUAUAUUUGAUUUAAUAUUGAAACUGCUUAGCGAUCUUUGUUACUUCAGCUUUUGUACGUUCUAAAUAUCUGCUGUCAUUAAUUGCCACAGAAGUUAAACCCUACCCAAUGGAAUGACGUUAAACAACGACUUUGGUGCAGAGUUACCAACUGGAUAAUAUCAAAGCUAAAAUAAUGGCCGUCAUUCCCAGAUGUUACAGUAGAAGAUACUCUAGAACUGUACAAGGUUAAAAAGGUAACAUGUAGUUUGUUCCAAGGUGCCUGCCUCCUCACCCAGAGCAAGACCUCCACCUCCUCACCCAGAGCCAGACCUCCACCUCCUGUCAGAAGUCCUCCAGAACAGCUGAAAGGCGAGGCUGAGAGGCUGGGGACCGGAGGCUUGUGGUGCCAGGGUGGACCGGAGACUGAGGCUGGAGACCAGCGGCCUGCAGCACCGGACCAGAGGACCAGGAAUACAUGGCUGAAGGAGCUGAUGGAGGAGCCGUGCUGAAGGAGCUGAUGGAGGAGUCGUGCUGAAGGCCCUGCCUUGUGGAGGAGCUGGUGGAGGCCCUGCCUGGUGAAGGACGUCUGUCGUGGGACCAGGACUCUGUCUGAGGAGAGCUGCUGGAGGAGCUGAGACGCUGGAGGACGACUAGGAAUCGACCAACAAGGAUUCCUCAACGUGUUUCUGGUAGGGGAGCGGUGAUUCUGGAGGAUGACCAUCACUCUA